rnacentral:rRNA from 1 species
CCUACGGGUGGCAGCAGUGAGGAAUAUUGGUCAAUGGACGAGAGUCUGAACCAGCCAAGUAGCGUGAAGGAUGACUGCCCUAUGGGUUGUAAACUUCUUUUAUAUGGGAAUAAAAUGUUCCACGUGUGGGAUUUUGUAUGUACCAUAUGAGUAAGGAUCGGCUAACUCCGUGCCAGCCGCCGCGGUAAUACGGAGGAUCCGAGCGUUAUCCGGAUUUAUUGGGUUUAAAGGGAGCGUAGGUGGAUUGUUAAGUCAGUUGUGAAAGCUUGCGGCUCAACCGUAAAAUUGCAGUUGAAACUGGCAGUCUUGAGUACAGUAGAGGUGGGCGGAAUUCGUGGUGUAGCGGUGAAAUGCUUAGAUAUCACGAAGAACUCCGAUUGCGAAGGCAGCUCACUGGACUGCAACUGACACUGAGGCGCGAAAGUGUGGGUAUCAAACAGGAUUAGAUACCCCUGUAGUC